UGGAAUGAAAUGGUUAAAGAUGGAGAAAUUGUAUACACUGGAACAGAAUCAACCCAGAACGGAGAGCUCCCUCCUAGAAAAGAUGAUAGUGUCGAACCAAGUGGAACAAAGAAAGAAGAUCUGAAUGACAAAGAGAAAAAAGAUGAAGAAGAAACUCCUGCACCUAUAUAUAGGGCCAAGUCAAUUCUGGACAGCUGGGUAUGGGGCAAGCAACCAGAUGUGAAUGAACUGAAGGAGUGUCUUUCUGUGCUGGUUAAAGAGCAGCAGGCCCUGGCCGUCCAGUCAGCCACCACCACCCUCUCAGCCCUGCGACUCAAGCAGAGGCUGGUGAUCUUGGAGCGCUAUUUCAUUGCCUUGAAUAGAACCGUUUUUCAGGAGAAUGUCAAAGUUAAGUGGAAAAGCAGCGGUAUUUCUCUGCCUCCUGUGGACAAAAAAAGGUAACAAUAAAGCGAAGAAAGAAUCCUGAUGCCA
rnacentral:sRNA from 1 species